GACUCCUACGGGAGGCAGCAGUGGGGAAUAUUGCACAAUGGGCGCAAGCCUGAUGCAGCCAUGCCGCGUGUGUGAAGAAGGCCUUCGGGUUGUAAAGCACUUUCAGCGGGGAGGAAGGCGUUAAGGUUAAUAACCUUGGCGAUUGACGUUACCCGCAGAAGAAGCACCGGCUAACUCCGUGCCAGCAGCCGCGGUAAUACGGAGGGUGCAAGCGUUAAUCGGAAUUACUGGGCGUAAAGCGCACGCAGGCGGUCUGUCAAGUCGGAUGUGAAAUC
rnacentral:rRNA from 1 species